GAUGAAGAACGUAGCGAAAUGCGAUACGUAAUGUGAAUUGCAGAAUUCAGUGAAUCAUCGAAUCUUUGAACGCACAUUGCGCCUGCCAGCACUCUGGCAGGCAUGCCUGUUCGAGCGUCAUUUCAACCAUCAAGCCCUAGCCUUGCGUUGGAGCCCUGCGGCUGCCGCAGGCCCCUAAAAGCAGUGGCGGGCUCGCUAUCACACCGAGUGCAGUAGAUUACUCUUCGCUCAGGGCGUGUGGCGGGUUCAAGCCGUGAAACCCCCUACUUCUCAAGGUUGACCUCGGAUCAGGUAGGAAUACCCGCUGAACUUAAGCAUAUCAAUAAGCGGAGGA
rnacentral:misc_RNA from 1 species